GGGGAAUUUUCCGCAAUGGGCGAAAGCCUGACGGAGCAAUACCGCGUGAGGGAGGAAGGCUCUUGGGUUGUAAACCUCUUUUCUCAAGGAAGAAAAAAAUGACGGUACUUGAGGAAUAAGCAUCGGCUAACUCCGUGCCAGCAGCCGCGGUAAUACGGAGGAUGCAAGCGUUAUCCGGAAUGAUUGGGCGUAAAGCGUCCGCAGGUGGCUAUGUAAGUCUGCUGUUAAAGAGUCUGGCUCAACCAGAUAAAGGCAGUGGAAACUACAUGGCUAGAGUGCGUUCGGGGCAGAGGGAAUUCCUGGUGUAGCGGUGAAAUGCGUAGAGAUCAGGAAGAACACCGGUGGCGAAAGCGCUCUGCUAGGCCGCAACUGACACUGAGGGACGAAAGCUAGGGGAGCGAAUGGGAUUAGAUACCCCAGUAGUCCUAGCCGUAAACGAUGGAUACUAGGCGUGGCUUGUAUCGACCCGAGCCGUGCCGUAGCUAACGCGUUAAGUAUCCCGCCUGGGGAGUACGCAGGCAACUGUGAAACUCAAAGGAAUUGACGGGGGCCCGCACAAGCGGUGGAGUAUGUGGUUUAAUUCGAUGCAACGCGAAGAACCUUACCAGGACUUGACAUGUCGCGAAUUUCUGUGAAAGCAGAAAGUGCCUUCGGGAGCGCGAACACAGGUGGUGCAUGGCUGUCGUCAGCUCGUGUCGUGAGAUGUUGGGUUAAGUCCCGCAACGAGCGCAACCCUCGUUUUUAGUUGCCAGCAUUAAGUUGGGCACUCUAGAGAGACUGCCGGUGACAAACCGGAGGAAGGCGGGGAUGACGUCAAGUCAGCAUGCCCCUUACGUUCUGGGCUACACACGUACUACAAUGCUACGGACAAAGGGCAGCAAGCAUGCGAAUGCAAGCUAAUCUCAUAAACCGUGGCUCAGUUCAGAUCGCAGGCUGCAACUCGCCUGCGUGAAGGAGGAAUCGCUAGUAAUUGCAGGUCAGCAUACUGCAGUGAAUUCGUUCCCGGGCCUUGUACACACCGCCCGUCACACCAUGGAAGCUGGUAGUGCCCGAAGUCAUUACCCCAACCGCUUGCGGAGGGGGAUGCCUAAGGCAGGACUGGUGACUGGGGUGAAGUCGUAACAAGGUAGCCGUACCGGAAGGUGUGGCUGGAUCACCUCCU
rnacentral:rRNA from 1 species